rnacentral:tRNA from 1 species
CGGUUCGUAGCUCAGUUGGCAGAGCACGUGACUCUUAAUCAUGGGGUCGUGGGUUCGAAACCCACCGAGCCGA